rnacentral:rRNA from 1 species
AUUGAACGCUGGCGGCAUGCUUUACACAUGCAAGUCGAACGGCAGCGCGGGCUUCGGCCUGGCGGCGAGUGGCGAACGGGUGAGUAAUACAUCGGAACGUGCCCCGUAGUGGGGGAUAGCUCGUCGAAAGCCGGAUUAAUACCGCAUACGACCUGAGGGUGAAAGCGGGGGAUCUUCGGACCUCGCGCUCUUGGAGCGGCCGAUGGCAGAUUAGCUAGUUGGUGGGGUAAAGGCCUACCAAGGCGACGAUCUGUAGCUGGUCUGAGAGGACGACCAGCCACACUGGGACUGAGACACGGCCCAGACUCCUACGGGAGGCAGCAGUGGGGAAUUUUGGACAAUGGGCGAAAGCCUGAUCCAGCAAUGCCGCGUGUGUGAUGAAGGCCUUCGGGUUGUAAAGCACUUUUGGCGGGAACGAAAAGGACUGUGCCAAUACCACGGUUCGAUGACGGUACCCGCAGAAUAAGCACCGGCUAACUACGUG